UACGUAGGGUGCAAGCGUUGUCCGGAAUUAUUGGGCGUAAAGGGCUCGUAGGCGGUCUGUUGCGUCGGGAGUGAAAACUCAGGGCUUAACCCUGAGCCUGCUUCCGAUACGGGCAGACUAGAGGUAUGCAGGGGAGAACGGAAUUCCUGGUGUAGCGGUGAAAUGCGCAGAUAUCAGGAGGAACACCGGUGGCGAAGGCGGGUCUCUGGGCCGAUACUGACGCUGAGGAGCGAAAGCGUGGGGAGCGAACAGG
rnacentral:rRNA from 1 species